rnacentral:rRNA from 1 species
UACGUAGGGUGCAAGCGUUAAUCGGAAUUACUGGGCGUAAAGCGUGCGCAGGCGGUUAUGCAAGACAGAUGUGAAAUCCCCGGGCUCAACCUGGGAACUGCAUUUGUGACUGCAUGGCUAGAGUACGGCAGAGGGGGAUGGAAUUCCACGUGUAGCAGUGAAAUGCGUAGAUAUGCGGAGGAACACCGAUGGCGAAGGCAAUCCCCUGGGCCUGCACUGACGCUCAUGCACGAAAGCGUGGGGAGCAAACAGG